rnacentral:lncRNA from 1 species
GAAACACGUCUAGAGGCACAUUCAAUGUGAUUCUUUUCACAUCUUGACUGAAGCAAAUAAUUCUUGCUUUCACAUGUUCAGGCUGUUGGAAUCACGUUAUCAAAACAUUUCCAAACACACUAAUAGGUGUUGCAUGUUUUGGACUUGCUCUUCAUGAUGAAUUAUAUUUAGAUCCAUGGAGCUGAAUUUUCAGAUUUAG